AUUGAACGCUGGCGGCAUGCCUUACACAUGCAAGUCGAACGGUAACGGGCCUUCGGGUGCCGACGAGUGGCGAACGGGUGAGUAAUACAUCGGAACGUGCCCGAUCGUGGGGGAUAACGAGGCGAAAGCUUUGCUAAUACCGCAUACGAUCUACGGAUGAAAGCAGGGGACCGCAAGGCCUUGCGCGGACGGAGCGGCCGAUGGCAGAUUAGGUAGUUGGCGGGAUAAAAGCUUACCAAGCCGACGAUCUGUAGCUGGUCUGAGAGGAUGAUCAGCCACACUGGGACUGAGACACGGCCCAGACUCCUACGGGAGGCAGCAGUGGGGAAUUUUGGACAAUGGGCGCAAGCCUGAUCCAGCCAUGCCGCGUGCAGGAUGAAGGCCUUCGGGUUGUAAACUGCUUUUGUACGGAACGAAAAGCCUUCUUUUAAUACAGGAGGGUCAUGACGGUACCGGAAGAAUAAGCACCGGCUAACUACGUG
rnacentral:rRNA from 1 species